rnacentral:rRNA from 1 species
CCUACGGGAGGCAGCAGUAAGGAAUAUUGGUCAAUGGACGCAAGUCUGAACCAGCCAUGCCGCGUGAAGGAUUAAGGUCCUCUGGAUUGUAAACUUCUUUUAUAUGGGACGAAAACAGAUCUUUCCAGGUCCUUUGACGGUACCAUAUGAAUAAGCACCGGCUAACUCCGUGCCAGCAGCCGCGGUAAUACGGAGGGUGCAAGCGUUAUCCGGAUUCACUGGGUUUAAAGGGUGCGUAGGCGGGUAGGUAAGUCAGUGGUGAAAUCCUGGAGCUCAACUCCAGAACUGCCAUUGAUACUAUCUAUCUUGAAUAUUGUGGAGGUAAGCGGAAUAUGUCAUGUAGCGGUGAAAUGCUUAGAUAUGACAUAGAACACCCAUUGCGAAGGCAGCUUACUACGCAUAUAUUGACGCUGAGGCACGAAAGCGUGGGGAUCAAACAGGAUUAGAUACCCUGGUAGUCCACGCCCUAAACGAUGGAUACUCGACAUACGCGAUACACAGUGUGUGUNUGAGNGAAGANAUAAGUAUCCACCCGCGGAGUACGUUCGCGAGAAGUAGAAACGUACGAAAGGAAGUUAGUACGGACGUUGAGACGNGCCGACGGACGACACGAGGGGAGGUUAGG